rnacentral:rRNA from 1 species
UACAGAGGUCCCAAGCGUUGUUCGGAUUCACUGGGCGUAACGGGUGCGUAGGCGGUCGGGUAAGUCUGACGUGAAAUCUUCAAGCUCAACUUGGAAACUGCGUCGGAUACUAUUCGGCUAGAGGAAUGGAGGGGAGACUGGAAUACUUGGUGUAGCAGUGAAAUGCGUAGAUAUCAAGUGGAACACCAGUGGCGAAGGCGAGUCUCUGGACAUUUCCUGACGCUGAGGCACGAAAGCCAGGGGAGCAAACGGG